rnacentral:lncRNA from 1 species
GGGCCAUUACCAUUGUGACGUCGGCGCCCAUGGGUACUCUCCCUUUUCGAAACGUUUUGAAAGACAAUGCAACCGUCCCAAUGGAAUAUUAUUGAAGCCCUGGUUGAAAAAGCCCCUAAAGAUUUAUGUUAUACAACGUUUGACAUGUUUGAACGAACUUAAAUAUAUAUUUUUUGCUCAUUCCUGACGACAAGUCAGACGCACACGGUACAUUUUUACUAGCCUUUGGAGCGCGCUAACACUAUUGGGACAUAAAUUAUUAACUUUUUUGAACAAAACGACAUUUUUUAUGGACCUGGGAUUCUUAGAAGUGCCUUCUGAUAAAGAUAAUCAAAGGACCUGAGCCCUAGGACCAUGCCUCAGGACUACCUGUCAUGAUGACUCCUUGCUGUCCCCAGUCCACCUGGCCAUGCUGCUGCUCCAGUUUCAACUGUUCUGCCUGCGGCUAUGGAACCCUGACCUGUUCACCGGACGUGCUUGUUGCACCCUCGACAACUACUAUGGUUAUUAUUAUUUGACCAUGCUGGUCAUUUAUGAACAUUUUAACAUCUUGACCAUGUUCUGUUAUAAUAUCCACCCGGCACAGCCAGAAGAGGACUGGCCACCCCUCAUAGCCUGGUUCCUCUCUAGGUUUCUUCCUAGGUUUUUGGCCUUUCUAGGGAGUUUUUCCUAGGGAGUUUUUCCUAGCCACCGUGCUUCUUUCACAUGCAUUGCUUGCUGUUUGGGAUUUUAGGCUGGGUUUCUGUACAGCACUUUGAGAUAUCAGCUGAUGUACGAAGGGCUAUAUAAAUACAUUUGAUUUGAUUUGAAGAAACAUAAACGUCAGGACAAGCAAUGUCAGAGUGGGAUUGACUAAAAUACAGUAGAAUAGAAUACAGUAUUUACAUAUGAGAUGAGUAAAGCAGUAUUGUUCCAUUAUUAAAGUGACCAGUGAUUCCAUGUCUGUGUAUAUGGAGCAGCAGCCUCUAAGGUGCAGGGUUGAGUAGCCGGCUAGUGAUGGCUAUUUAUCAAUCUGAUGGCCUUGUUAUAGAAGCUGUUUUUCAGUCUCUCGGUCCCACCUUUGAUGUACCUGUCCUGACCUCGCAUUCUGGAUGAUAACGGGGUGAACAGGCAGUGGCUCGGGUGGUUGAUGUCCUUGAUGAUCUUUUUUGGCCUUCCCGUGACAUCGGGUGGUGUAGGUGUCCUGGAGGGCAGGUAGUUUCCCCCCCCCGGUAAUGCGUUGAGCAGACCGCACCACCCUCUGGAGACGCACCACCCUCUGGAGACGCACCACCCUCUGGAGACGCACCACCCUCUGGAGACGCACCACCCUCUGGAGACGCAUCACCCUCUGGAGAACCCUGCGGUUGCCGUACCAGGCUGUGAUACAGCCCGACAGGAUGUUUCUCAAUUGUGCAUCUGUAAAAUGUUGUGUGGGUUCUAGGGGCCAAGACAAAUUUCUUCGGCCUCCAAAGGCUGCUGUAUUGAUGACAUCUUUACUAAUGUUGCGCAAAUCUGCUCUAAAGCAGAUCCCAUCAGAUGAAGUGAUCAUAAUAUUAUUGAAUUAACAUUAAUUUAACUAGGGCAAGUCAGUUAAGAACACAUUUUUAUUUACAAUGACGGCCUACUGGGGAACAUUGGGUUAACUGCCUUGUUCAGGGGGCAGAACGACAGAUUUUUACCUUGUCAGCUCGGGGGAUUCAAUCUAGCAACCUUUCUGUUACUAGUCCAACUCUCUAACCACUAGGCUACCUGCCGCCCCUCCACUCUAACCACUAGGCUACCUGCCGCCCCUCCACUCUAACCACUAGGCUACCUGCCGCCCCUCCACUCUAACCACCAGGCUACCUGCCGCCCC